AUGGGAGUUUUGUACAUGAGGAUAGAUCCUGAUACAAUGACUCUUGACAUGGGUGAGGAUAAUAAGAAGCUUCACAUUAGUAGCGAUGGUAUACAACAAUUAUUUGGUUUUCCUCGUGGUGGUCGUUCUGCGCCAAGGCCGUCAGAGGACGGAUAUGACGACGCUCUGAUGAAGUUAAGAAUGGAGCUUGACAUUAGCAGGAACAAAGAUAUCAGGACAAAGGAUUUGAGGAAUAAGCUCAAGGUGCUCGUCAAGGAUCCUAGCAAAGAUGACCUUGCUCUGAAAGUGUUCUUCAUUAUUGUGUUUAUGAAGGUUGUGUUGCCUGGUUCUGCCCCGCGUGUUUCCAGAGAGUCAACAAUGUUUGAGGGUCUCGUCUUUGAGGACAUGGCUAAAAUUGAUUAUUGCUAG
rnacentral:rRNA from 1 species